UACGUAGGAGGCAAGCGUUGUCCGGAAUCACGUGGGACGUAAAGCGCGUGUAGGUGGUGCGACAAGUCUGCUGUGAAAGCGCCUGGCUUAACCGGGCGAGGUCGGCGGAAACUGACGUACUGGAGGCCGGUAGAGGGGGGUGGAAUUCCCGGUGUAGUGGUGAAAUUCGUAGAUAUCAAGCGGAACACCGGUGGCGAAGGCGGCCUUCUGGACAGUGACUGACGCUGAGACGCGAAAGCGUGGGGAGCAAACAGG
rnacentral:rRNA from 1 species